UACAUGGGGUGCAAACGUUGCUCGGAAUUAUUGGGCGUAAAGCGCACGUAGGCGGUUCGUUAAGUCGGAUGUGAAAGCCCUCGGCUCAACUGAGGAAGUGCACCCGAAACUGGCGAGCUUGAGUACGAAAGAGGAUCGCGGAAUUCCCGGUGUAGAGGUGAAAUUCGUAGAUAUCGGGGAGGAACACCGGUGGCGAAGGCGGCGAUCUGGGUCGAUACUGACGCUGAGGUGGCGAAAAGCGUGGGGAGCAACAGG
rnacentral:rRNA from 1 species